GAUGAACGCUGGCGGCGUGCCUAAUACAUGCAAGUCGAGCGAACGGACGAGAAGCUUGCUUCUCUGAUGUUAGCGGCGGACGGGUGAGUAACACGUGGAUAACCUACCUAUAAGACUGGGAUAACUUCGGGAAACCGGAGCUAAUACCGGAUAGUAUUUUGAACCGCAUGGUUCAAAAGUGAAAGACGGUCUUGCUGUCACUUAUAGAUGGAUCCGCGCUGCAUUAGCUAGUUGGUAAGGUAACGGCUUACCAAGGCAACGAUGCAUAGCCGACCUGAGAGGGUGAUCGGCCACACUGGAACUGAGACACGGUCCAGACUCCUACGGGAGGCAGCAGUAGGGAAUCUUCCGCAAUGGGCGAAAGCCUGACGGAGCAACGCCGCGUGAGUGAUGAAGGUCUUCGGAUCGUAAAACUCUGUUAUUAGGGAAGAACAUAUGUGUAAGUAACUGUGCACAUCUUGACGGUACCUAAUCAGAAAGCCACGGCUAACUACGUGCCAGCAGCCGCGGUAAUACGUAGGUGGCAAGCGUUAUCCGGAAUUAUUGGGCGUAAAGCGCGCGUAGGCGGUUUUUUAAGUCUGAUGUGAAAGCCCACGGCUCAACCGUGGAGGGUCAUUGGAAACUGGAAAACUUGAGUGCAGAAGAGGAAAGUGGAAUUCCAUGUGUAGCGGUGAAAUGCGCAGAGAUAUGGAGGAACACCAGUGGCGAAGGCGACUUUCUGGUCUGUAACUGACGCUGAUGUGCGAAAGCGUGGGGAUCAAACAGGAUUAGAUACCCUGGUAGUCCACGCCGUAAACGAUGAGUGCUAAGUGUUAGGGGGUUUCCGCCCCUUAGUGCUGCAGCUAACGCAUUAAGCACUCCGCCUGGGGAGUACGACCGCAAGGUUGAAACUCAAAGGAAUUGACGGGGACCCGCACAAGCGGUGGAGCAUGUGGUUUAAUUCGAAGCAACGCGAAGAACCUUACCAAAUCUUGACAUCCUUUGACAACUCUAGAGAUAGAGCUUUCCCCUUCGGGGGACAAAGUGACAGGUGGUGCAUGGUUGUCGUCAGCUCGUGUCGUGAGAUGUUGGGUUAAGUCCCGCAACGAGCGCAACCCUUAAGCUUAGUUGCCAUCAUUAAGUUGGGCACUCUAAGUUGACUGCCGGUGACAAACCGGAGGAAGGUGGGGAUGACGUCAAAUCAUCAUGCCCCUUAUGAUUUGGGCUACACACGUGCUACAAUGGACAAUACAAAGGGCAGCGAAACCGCGAGGUCAAGCAAAUCCCAUAAAGUUGUUCUCAGUUCGGAUUGUAGUCUGCAACUCGACUACAUGAAGCUGGAAUCGCUAGUAAUCGUAGAUCAGCAUGCUACGGUGAAUACGUUCCCGGGUCU
rnacentral:rRNA from 1 species